AUGAACGCUGGCGGCGUGCUUAACACAUGCAAGUCGAACGAAGCACUUAUGACAGAUUCUUCGGAUGAUGGAUUAAGUGACUGAGUGGCGGACGGGUGAGUAACGCGUGGGUAACCUGCCUCAUACAGGGGGAUAACAGUUAGAAAUGACUGCUAAUACCGCAUAAGCGCACAAUACCGCAUGGUAUGGUGUGAAAAACUCCGGCGGUAUAGGAUGGACCCGCGUCUGAUUAGCUAGUUGGUAAGGUAAUGGGCUUACCAAGGCGACGAUCAGUAGCCGACCUGAGAGGGUGAUCGGCCACAUUGGAACUGAGACACGGUCCAAACUCCUACGGGAGGCAGCAGUGGGGAAUAUUGCACAAUGGGCGAAAGCCUGAUGCAGCAACGCCGCGUGAGCGAUGAAGGCCUUCGGGUCGUAAAGCUCUGUCCUCAAGGAAGAUAAUGACGGUACUUGAGGAGGAAGCCCCGGCUAACUACGUG
rnacentral:rRNA from 1 species